rnacentral:rRNA from 1 species
GAUGAACGCUAGCUACAGGCUUAACACAUGCAAGUCGCGGGGCAGCAUGGGGGUUGCUUGCAAUCCCCGAUGGCGACCGGCGCACGGGUGAGUAACGCGUAUCCAACCUGCCCUUCACCACCGGAUAACCCGGCGAAAGUCGGACUAAUACCGUAUGUUGUCCAUUGACGGCCUCCGAUUUUGUCGAAAGGCUUGGCUGUGAGGGAUGGGGAUGCGUCCGAUUAGCCAGACGGCGGGGUAACGGCCCACCGUGGCUACGAUCGGUAGGGGUUCUGAGAGGAAGGUCCCCCACACUGGAACUGAGACACGGUCCAGACUCCUACGGGAGGCAGCAGUGAGGAAUAUUGGUCAAUGGGCGUAAGCCUGAACCAGCCAAGUAGCGUGCAGGAAGACGGCCCUAUGGGUUGUAAACUGCUUUUAUGCGGGGAUAAAGUGGCCCACGUGUGGGCUUUUGCAGGUACCGCAUGAAUAAGGACCGGCUAAUUCCGUG